UCCGUAGACGCCUCAUCUCCCCUCAGUUGGUCGGCGUUGCGGCGGGUGAGGGGUAAGCGAGGAGGAAAGGCCCUUCGCCGCCGCCGUAGCUGCCUCAGGCAGGACUCGGCAAUGGCCACCGGGCUCCUCCUCAGCCUCUUCGCUCACCACCUCGGCCUGCUUGGGCACUGCCAUGGCGACGGGCUCCUCAGCGGCCCCCUCGCGACCCGUGUUGGUGGCGGCCGCCGUGUCCGGAUCCUCCUCCUGCGGCGGCGGCGGCCUUUCUCGCCUGGCGGGGACCCGAGUCGGGAGCGGCAGUGGCGCAGCCGGCAGCAGCGGCACCAAAAAGAGGCCGUUUGUGACCCCGCUUUGCAACGGCCUUCUGAAUUCCUACGAGGACAAAAGCAACGAUUUCGUCUGAAAGACGGUAGAAAUGUCAAAACUGCUGACAGAAAAAGAGGAGCUGGAAUCAAAGAUUCAGGAGCUUAUAAAUAAAAACCUCCAAAGAAAAAGUGGAACUCUGCGAAGAGUAGGAAGAAAAGCUGAGCAGCUGAGAAAAUUUAGAUAGCAACCCUGACUUUCUCUUCCUUUCUUGGCUAUUUCACAUCACAGAGAAUUUAUGGAAAACAAAUGCAUGUAAUUCUUAUGACCACGAAAUGAAGAAAAGCAAAAAUCUACAAUUCGUUUUCAAUCUUCACAGAACUUCCAGGUUUCGAGGCAUCCAGAAAAUAUAAUGCACGUGGGCCAGGAUUUAAGUUUAAAGAUACAUUCCCAUCAGAAAAAAUAGUUCCGAGGAGCCUGGGCAACUGGAGAAACUCAGACAAGAUAAUGAGAGACUCAGCUGUAAGGCUCAGAAACACUCUGGAGAAAAAGCAGAGCUCGUACAAGAAAAUAAUGACCUUAAAGAAGAACUUUAUAGAAAGAUAGCAGUAGAAUCCAAACUGACAGUAGAAAAUGAAGAGCUCCGAAACAACGAGUUGCUGACAUUCAAAAACAUUGAAGUAACGGAUGAGAGAGUACGAAGAAAUACUGUGCAGAAACAACUGAGGAAGGGCUGCUGCACCUUGUUGAUGGACAGAGACCUAGUGCAAAAGAGGCUCUGUGAGUGUUUGCCAAACAAGGACAGCCAUUACAGAAGACAAAAUGACAAAAUGAAGCCUCAAAUGGUGGAAUAUCAAUUAAACGAGAAAUGGCUUAAAGUUUCAGUAGACAGCCUGAAAAUAAAAUAAAAAAAACACUUAAGGAACCCGGGCUAAA